GAUGAAGAACGUAGCGAAAUGCGAUACGUAAUGUGAAUUGCAGAUUUCAGUGAAUCAUCGAAUCUUUGAACGCACAUUGCGCCCGCUAGUAUUCUGGCGGGCAUGCCUGUUCGAGCGUCAUUUCAACCAUCAAGCCCUAGGCUUGCGUUGGAGCCCUGCGGCUGCCGCAGGCUCCCAAAUCCAGUGGCGGGCUCGUCGUCGUACCGAGUGCAGUAAACAUCCUCGCUCAGGGAACGUGACGGGUUCUUGCCGUGAAACCCCCCACAUAUCAAGGUUGACCUCGGAUCAGGUAGGAAUACCCGCUGAACUUAAGCAUAUCAAUAAACGGAGGA
rnacentral:misc_RNA from 1 species